UACGUACGAGGCAAGCGUUAUCCGGAAUUACUGGGCGUAAAGCGCACGUAGGCGGCUUUGUAAGUAAGAGGUGAAAGCCCAGAGCUCAACUCUGGAAUUGCCUUUUAGACUGCAUCGCUUGAAUCAUGGAGAGGUCAGUGGAAUUCCGAGUGUAGAGGUGAAAUUCGUAGAUAUUCGGAAGAACACCAGUGGCGAAGGCGGCUGACUGGACAUGUAUUGACGCUGAGGUGCGAAAGCGUGGGGAGCAAACAGG
rnacentral:rRNA from 1 species